rnacentral:rRNA from 1 species
CACGUAGGGGGCGAGCGUUGUCCGGAUUUAUUGGGCGUAAAGAGCUCGUAGGCGGCUCAGUAAGUCAGGUGUGAAAACUCCAGGCUCAACCUGGAGACGCCACUUGAUACUGCUGUGGCUAGAGUCCGGUAGGGGAGCAUGGAAUUCCUGGUGUAGCGGUGAAAUGCGCAGAUAUCAGGAGGAACACCGGUGGCGAAGGCGGGUCUCUGGGCCGAUACUGACGCUGAGGAGCGAAAGCGUGGGGAGCAAACAGG